AGUAAAAGUCGUAACAAGGUUUCCGUAGGUGAACCUGCGGAAGGAUCAUUACCGAGUGCGGGCCCUCGCGGCCCAACCUCCCACCCUUGUCUCUGUACACCUGUUGCUUUGGCGGGCCCACCGGGGCCACCUGGUCGCCGGGGGACGUACGUCCCCGGGUCCGCGCCCGCCGAAGCGCUCUGUGAACCCUGAUGAAGAAGGGCUGUCUGAGUACCAUGAAAAUUGUCAAAACUUUCAACAAUGGAUCUCUUGGUUCCGGCAUCGAUGAAGAACGCAGCGAAAUGCGAUAAGUAAUGUGAAUUGCAGAAUUCCGUGAAUCAUCGAAUCUUUGAACGCACAUUGCGCCCCCUGGCAUUCCGGGGGGCAUGCCUGUCCGAGCGUCAUUUCUGCCCUCAAGCACGGCUUGUGUGUUGGGUGCGGUCCUCCCGGGGACCUGCCCGAAAGGCAGCGGCGACGUCCGUCUGGUCCUCGAGCGUAUGGGGCUCUGUCACUCGCUCGGGAAGGACCUGCGGGGGUUGGUCACCACCACAGUUUUACCACGGUUGACCUCGGAUCAGGUAGGAGUUACCCGCUGAACUUAAGCAUAUCAAUAAGCGGAGGA
rnacentral:rRNA from 1 species